rnacentral:rRNA from 1 species
AUUGAACGCUGGCGGCAGGCCUAACACAUGCAAGUCGAGCGAGCGGCGGACGGGUGAGUAAUGUCUGGGAAACUGCCCGAUAGAGGGGGAUAACUACUGGAAACGGUAGCUAAUACCGCAUACUAUCAGAUGUGCCCAGAUGGGAUUAGCUAGUAGGUGGGGUAACGGCUCACCUAGGCGACGAUCCCUAGCUGGUCUGAGAGGAUGAUCAGCCACACUGGAACUGAGACACGGUCCAGACUCCUACGGGAGGCAGCAGUGGGGAAUAUUGCACAAUGGGCGCAAGCCUGAUGCAGCCAUGCCGCGUGUAUGAAGAAGGCCUUAGGGUUGUAAAGCACUUUCAGCGGGGAGGCGUUACCGACAGAAGAAGCACCGGCUAACUCCGUGCCAGCAGCCGCGGUAAUUC